rnacentral:lncRNA from 10 species
CACAAUGUUUACUGACAUCUGUUAUGUGUUAGGAUUCAUCCUGGGGACAUGAAAUAGAUCAGAUAAGGUCCCUGACCUAACUGACAAGGGAGGCAGACAAUAACCAGAUGUUUAUAGAACUGUUUGAGAUAAAUGCUCUGUUAGAGGUAUAAUAGGAGAAUAUACCAGAACGCCAGAAGAGAGUUUAGCUCAACUUGGGCAUGAAGAGAGGAUCCCAGAAGACAGGAGUCUUAAAGGAUGAAGAGAAGUUAUGCAGGUGAUCUUAUUUCCAGCCCACUGCAGAUUAGGAGAAGGAAAUAAGAAGGCCAGGGAGGAUGCUACAGAACCAAGCAGAUUGAUUACAAUCAAGCACUGGCCAGGCAGGCAGGGAAAAGAACAGGACAAUGAAAAGCUGAAAAAGGAAUUCAGAGUACAGCACCUCAAAAGCCCCUAAGGGCAUCACUGAACUGCCACAUAGGACAUUAACUGCUGGAUAUAAUGAUGAACCUGACGAAAAGUGAUAGUUGGCUCAAGAAAGCAGGAAAGGUGUAAUCCAUUUU